GACGAACGCUGGCGGCGUGCUUAACACAUGCAAGUGGAGCGACGAACCGGGCUUCGGCCCGGGGCAAAGCCGCGAACGGGUGAGUAUCACGUGGGUAACCUGCCCCGACGACCGGGACAACCCGAGGAAACUCGGGCUAAUACCGGAUGUGCUCCUCGCACACCAGCUCGAGGAGGAAAGGAAGCUUCCGCCUCCGCAUCGGGUUCGGCCCGCGGCCCAUUAGCUUGUUGGUGAGGGAAAGGCUCACCAAGGCGACGAUGGGUAGCUGGUCUGAGAGGACGAUCAGCCACACUGGGACUGAGACACGGCCCAGACUCCUACGGGAGGCAGCAGUGGGGAAUCUUGCGCAAUGCGCGAAAGCGUGACGCAGCAACGCCGCGUGAGGGAAGAAGGCCUUCGGGUUGUAAACCUCUUUCAGGAGGGACGAAGGUUCAGGCGCGAAUAGCGUCCUGGACUGACGGUACCUCCAGAAGAAGCCCCGGCUAACUACGUGCCAGCAGCCGCCGUAACAC
rnacentral:rRNA from 1 species